CCUACGGGCGGCAGCAGUGGGGAAUAUUGGACAAUGGGCGAAAGCCUGAUCCAGCCAUGCCGCGUGUGUGAAGAAGGCCUUCGGGUUGUAAAGCACUUUCAGUGGGGAAGAAAGCCUUGGGGCUAAUACCCUCGAGGAAGGACAUCACCCACAGAAGAAGCACCGGCUAACUCCGUGCCAGCAGCCGCGGUAAUACGGAGGGUGCGAGCGUUAAUCGGAAUUACUGGGCGUAAAGCGCGCGUAGGCGGUCUGAUAAGCCGGUUGUGAAAGCCCCGGGCUCAACCUGGGAACGGCAUCCGGAACUGUCAGGCUAGAGUGCAGGAGAGGAAGGUAGAAGUCCCGGUGUAGCGGUGAAAUGCGUAGAGAUCGGGAGGAAUACCAGUGGCGAAGGCGGCCUUCUGGACUGACACUGACGCUGAGGUGCGAAAGCGUGGGUAGCAGACAGGAUUAGAUACCCUUGUAGUC
rnacentral:rRNA from 1 species